rnacentral:rRNA from 1 species
GAUCAUUACACAAAUAUGAAGGCGGGCUGGAACCUCUCGGGGUUACAGCCUUGCUGAAUUAUUCACCCUUGUCUUUUGCGUACUUCUUGUUUCCUUGGUGGGUUCGCCCACCACUAGGACAAACAUAAACCUUUUGUAAUUGCAAUCAGCGUCAGUAACAAAUUAAUAAUUACAACUUUCAACAACGGAUCUCUUGGUUCUGGCAUCGAUGAAGAACGCAGCGAAAUGCGAUAAGUAGUGUGAAUUGCAGAAUUCAGUGAAUCAUCGAAUCUUUGAACGCACAUUGCGCCCUUUGGUAUUCCAAAGGGCAUGCCUGUUCGAGCGUCAUUUGUACCCUCAAGCUUUGCUUGGUGUUGGGCGUCUUGUCUCUAGCUUUGCUGGAGACUCGCCUUAAAGUAAUUGGCAGCCGGCCUACUGGUUUCGGAGCGCAGCACAAGUCGCACUCUCUAUCAGCAAAGGUCUAGCAUCCAUUAAGCCUUUUUUUCAACUUUUGACCUCGGAUCAGGUAGGGAUACCCGCUGAACUUAAGCAUAUCAAUUAGCGGAGGAA